rnacentral:rRNA from 1 species
GACGAACGCUGGCGGCGUGCCUAAUACAUGCAAGUCGAACGCAGUGGGGACGGGUGAGUUACACGUGGGUAACCUCCCAUCAGAGGGGAUAACACUUGAAAACAGGUGCUGAAAACGAUACUGAUGGAUGGGCCCGCGGUGCAUUGGCUAGUGGGUGAGGUAACGGCUCACCAAGGCCACGAUGCAUAGCCGACCUGAGAGGGUGAUCGGACACACGGGGACUGAGACACGGCCCAGACUCCUACGUGAGGCAGCAGUAGGGAAUCUUCGGCAAUGGUCGAAAGUCUGACCGAGCAACGCCGCGUGAGUGAAGAAGGUUUUCGGAUCGUAAAGCUCUGUUGUUAGAGAAGCGGUAUCUAACCAGAAAGCCACGGCUAACUACGUGCCAGCAGCCGCGGUAAUAC